rnacentral:rRNA from 1 species
AUUGAACGCUGGCGGAAUGCUUUACACAUGCAAGUCGAACGGCAGCACGGGAGCAAUCCUGGUGGCGAGUGGCGAACGGGUGAGUAAUAUAUCGGAACGUGCCCGGUCGUGGGGGAUAACGUAGCGAAAGCUACGCUAAUACCGCAUACGAUCUACGGAUGAAAGCGGGGGAUCGCAAGACCUCGCGCGAUUGGAGCGGCCGAUAUCAGAUUAGGUAGUUGGUGAGGUAAAGGCUCACCAAGCCGACGAUCUGUAGCUGGUCUGAGAGGACGACCAGCCACACUGGGACUGAGACACGGCCCAGACUCCUACGGGAGGCAGCAGUGGGGAAUUUUGGACAAUGGGCGCAAGCCUGAUCCAGCAAUGCCGCGUGCAGGAUGAAGGCCUUCGGGUUAUAAACUGCUUUUGUACGGAACGAAACGGUGAGCUCUAAUACAGUUUGCUAAUGACGGUACCGUAAGAAUAAGCACCGGCUAACUACGUG